ensembl:lncRNA
CAGGAGUUAAAGAACCCAAAGCCACAUAUAUCGCUGCGAUAUAAAGUUUCGCAGGGCAGACAGAGGGACAGACAGAGGGGGAUAGAAGCCCUUUCACCGGGAACAUCUGGAACUUUCCAGCCUCUCCAGAUAGAGACACACACCAUUUUGAGGAUAUGAAAGCUGUCACAUCUUUUAUAUGGCGGCACUCUCAUUAAAGACUGGGAGGGCGUGCGCCACGAUCAUCAUUCUGAAAAGCGAGAUGUACGCUGAUUGGCCAGCUAUCCAGUGCAUUGUGAUUGGCUGAAUGCCUCAAGCGUGUGACGGAAAUGUUACGCCCCUUGCCAUACUGUGAUGCCGUCUCCCGGAACGACAAGGACUUACGAUCCACUCCCACACUCCUCUGACAGACGGAAGAUUCACACCAGGGACUGGCCAUUACAAGUUUUAACAUCUGAGGUUUGGGUUUUCAUUAGUGCACUUGUCUGUGUGUGUUUCCACAUAGCAAAGCAUGCUUCUACUGUAUGCAUAUGCUUAUUAACCUUUUUUUUUUUUU